AGAGCGAACGCUGGCGGCAGGCCUAACACAUGCAAGUCGAGCGCCCGUAGCAAUACGGGAGCGGCAGACGGGAUAGUAACACGUGGGAACGCGCCCUUCGGUUCGGAAUAACUCAGGGAAACUUGAGCUAAUACCGGAUACGCCCUUACGGGGAAAGAUUUAUUGCCGAAGGAACGGCCCGCGUCCGAUUAGCUAGUUGGUGAGGUAAUGGCUCACCAAGGCGACGAUCGGUAGCUGGUCUGAGAGGGCGACCGGCCACACUGGGACUGAGACACGGCCCAGACUCCUACGGGAGGCAGCAGUGGGGAAUAUUGCGCAAUGGGGGAAACCCUGACGCAGCGACGCCGCGUGCGGGAUGAAGGCCUUCGGGUUGUAAACCGCUUUCACCAGGGACGAAGCGAGAGUGACGGUACCUGGGGAAGAAGCGCCGGCUAACUCGCGCCAGCAGCCGC
rnacentral:rRNA from 1 species